ACGGAUGUUGCUCAGUUGGGAGUUUGUUUUUUAUAUUCAAAGUAAGUUCGAGUCUUACCAUCCGUA
rnacentral:tRNA from 1 species